AAUUGUUCGCAAUGGGCGCAAGCCUGACGACGCAACGCCGCGUGGAGGAUGAAGAUUUUCGGAUCGUAAACUCCUGUCGAGUGGGAAGAAUAGCUUUCGGAUAAACAUUCCGGAGGCCUGACGGUACCACUAAAGGAAGCCCCGGCUAACUCCGUGCCAGCAGCCGCGGUAAUACGGGGGGGGCAAGCGUUGUUCGGAAUUACUGGGCGUAAAGGGCUCGUAGGCGGCCAACUAAGUCGGAUGUGAAAUCCCCAGGCUCAACCUGGGAACUGCAUCCGAUACUGGAUGGCUUGAAUUCGGGAGAGGGAUGCAGAAUUCCAGGUGUAGCGGUGAAAUUCGUAGAUAUUCGGAAGAACACCAGUGGCGAAGGCGACUCACUGGACAUGUAUUGACGCUGAGGUGCGAAAGCGUGGGGAGCAAA
rnacentral:rRNA from 1 species